GACGAACGCUGGCGGCGUGCUUAACACAUGCAAGUCGAGCGGAAAGGCCCUUCGGGGUACUCGAGCGGCGAACGGGUGAGUAACACGUGAGUAACCUGCCCCAGACUUUGGGAUAACCCUCGGAAACGGGGGCUAAUACCGGAUACGACACAGCUUCGCAUGGGGUCUGUGUGGAAAGUUUUUCGGUUUGGGAUGGGCUCGCGGCCUAUCAGCUUGUUGGUGGGGUGAUGGCCUACCAAGGCGACGACGGGUAGCCGGCCUGAGAGGGCGACCGGCCACACUGGGACUGAGACGCGGCCCAGACUCCUACGGGAGGCAGCAGUGGGGAAUAUUGCACAAUGGGCGGAAGCCUGAUGCAGCGACGCCGCGUGAGGGAUGACGGCCUUCGGGUUGUAAACCUCUUUCAGCAGGGACGAAGCGUAAGUGACGGUACCUGCAGAAGAAGCGCCGGCCAACUACGUG
rnacentral:rRNA from 1 species